GGACUCCUUUAUAUAGCACUGCGUUAACUUAGCUUUUAUUCUCAACCAUAUGUUUGUGUUGCUAGAAAGUAAAGGAAAAGAACAUGGGGGAGAUUGAAUGAUUGAAUGAUACCACUCACUCAGAAGACAAGUUUGAGAAAUUGAGCCUCUCAAAUGGGCAAAUCCAUAUCCCUUAAGGCCUUAACAAUUAAUCCCAGGUGAUUUCUGUUUCCAAAAGGUGUUAUAAUUACUCCCACUUUGUUAGUCUCUGCUGUGGUAUUUGGCUACACAGCAGAUAUUAUCAGGACAAGCUAGGCAACUUGGAUCACUAUACAGGAUGUGUGGGUAGUGGGUAGUCUUCCUUCUCUUUAAAUUUUUCCUUUUUUUUUUUUUUUUGACAUUUAGACUGACUUUAUGUGAUAACACAGAUGAAAGCAUAUUGGUCUCGUUUCACAUUAUUGUUAACUAUGAUGUUCAAUUAGAUAUUUUCUAAGUUGUUUCCAUGGCAGUAAUUGUUACACGGAGAUGUGUAUUUUCCAGAUUAAGGUGUUCAAUCUUGCUUCGUUCCUGUAAAGAUGGUAGGUAUGCCUAGUAAAGAUCCACCGAGUCUUUACACAGAUUUGCUCAGACAUCCUAUUCUUUACUUUACUACAGUGCCUACUGACUCUUGGGUUACAUGACAAGCGCGCCGGCCACUGUUGGGUACUGCUCUGUUCCUUAAAUAAUUAUUCAAACCACAGAUUAAAAAAGGGGGGGAAAAAAAAAGAAGAAAAGGAGUUGGGAUUGAUUCAAAGGUACAAGGAAACCAAAAUAUUACGUUAUUUUAUAUCUAAACAAUCUCUUCUUAAAGAACAACCAGUAUCUUGAUCCAUUUUCUAAAGCAACAUAUAGAGUCUGUACACACUUAUUAGAAGCUUAAUUUAUAGUUUAUUGGCUUCACAGACGAGACAAUGCAAGGAUUUGCUCAUGAGGCUGAUGAGCAAGAUACUUGGGUUGUUCCACAUUGACGGGAGUAGACUUCUUGUUGGAUGUUUUCUCGGAAAUUACAAGGGUCUUGGCUAGAGUCCUCAACUCGAAUUUUUGAAUCUUGC
rnacentral:lncRNA from 1 species